UUCAACACCAGUUCAUGCUAGUGACUGUUAGCAAAUGUAUUAGAAUUUCCAUAUUGUAAAAAAAAAUUUUUUUAAGAUUUUUUAUUUAUUUAUUCAUGAGAGACAGAGAGAGAGAGAGAGAGAGGCAGAGACCCAGGCAGAGGGAGAAGCAGGCUCCAUGCAGGGAGCCCGACGUGGGACUCGAUCCCGGAUUUCUAGGAUCACGCCCCAGGCCGAAGGCAGCACUAAACCGCUGGACCACCCAGGGAUCCCCCUCCAUAUUGUGAAAUUACCAGCACACAUACAUAAGUGUGAAAUGUUAAAACAUUCCCACUAAAGUCAGAACAGGACAUGGCAGUGUGGUAAAUUUCUAGUGUUCAAACCCAGACUGGUUUGCAUAGCCAGCAUAUAGCCAUACAUAGGAGUAAGAAAAUGAAAUUUACAGUUUAUGAAAAGAGAUAUUGAGAUUCCCUAAUAGAGAACUCGAAAGAAAUUGGCUGUAAAAUAUUCAAAUGUAUAAGGAACUUCAGGAUACUGAUGUAGAUCACUACCGCAAAAUCAGAAGUCUAGCCACACAAAAUAAAUAACAAUAUAUCAUAGAAAAUAUACCAUUCAAACAGUAGCAUCAUCAAAAAUAUACUGAAGAAAGAGAACUAAGAAGUAUGUACAUGGCCUUUAUGGAAGCAAAUAUAAAUAACAGACUUAGGUAAAGGAAGUCUCAAAUAGCAAAAUACCAUGUUUAUUUACCAUGAGUGGAAUCUUGUACACAUGUCAAUUCUCCUUAAAUUAUUUACAGAUUUCUACCUUACCUGAUGUAUUUGGCUUCACGUCAGCAGAAGAGAAGUAGCCCAGCACCAACAAGACAUCAAGGGAGCCCCAGAGCUUGUUGGGAGAGGUAUAAAGGUGUGGUCUUAUGCCAGCGAAGGGAGGAGUCCUGGGACUGGACAGAUGUCAAGGUGAGUAACUUGUUGGAACUGCAGAGGUGCACUCCUUUCAGAGCUGGGGUGGGGGCAGCCCUGGUGGCUCAGCGGUCUAGUGCCAUCUUCGGCUCAAGGCGUGAUCCUGGAGUCCUGGGAUCGAAUCCCACGUCGCGCUCCCUGCAUGGUGCCUGCUUCUCCCUCUGCCUGUGUCUCUGCCUCUCUCUUUCUCAGUCUCUCAUGAAUAAAUAAAAAAUUAAAAAAAAAAAAAGACUCAUUUGAAAGAACUGGGGUGACCCAAAGAGCCCUGCCCUAUUCCGGCGUGCCUCACCCCCACUGCCCUGAACUCGUGGCUCUAGCGUGGCUUUUAGGCCUGACACCCUCACUUGCGCUUCGGGAUUUGCUGAGUGGCAGGCCUUUGUCCAAAGGGGCAGCCUCAAGUCAGCAGAGGGAGGUUUCAAGGAGUCAAUAAAUUUCUGAGUUAGAACUGGGGUGACAACCACCCCCAAAAGGGAAGAGGUUCAUGGAGUCCUGCCCACCCCUGCUUUGUGGGUUCCUAAGACAGUACCCUUAAGGGGAUAAACAGAGACACCUUUUCUUGGAGCUUGGGUAGAACAUCCUUAGCGAGGCUUUGCAUACCAUCUCUUCAUAUUCCAGGGUGACCUCUUCAUCAAGCUAACUGCUUGCACACCCGCCUGC
rnacentral:lncRNA from 1 species